rnacentral:lncRNA from 1 species
ACUUUCAGAAGAAUUUUAUACCGGGGAAGAAUAUAUUUUUUCAAGAUGACAAAGAAGGCUGGUGCACAUCCUUUCUUUACUCUCCCAAUCCAUGCCAAGAACCCUGGGAAUUUCCAUUUGCUGAUGGGGGAAGUCCUGGGGUUGUAUGUUGGCAGAUCCAGUACAGCUGUCCCAAACAUCAAACGUCCCUCUAUGCAUCCCCAGCCGCACUUAACAGAAUUCCUGUUGACAGAAGUAAACAUCUUCAUUCAAGGAUCUUCUCAAUACAGACUGGGCUGCCAAUCAGACCAAACACUGGGGUAAGUAACAUAUUCCAAAUGUAUGUAAGAAAGCACAUAUUGGUUUAAUUCUUAGAAAUAUGCUGUCAUUCUGUCAAGAAGUUACAUCAGCCUUUUACAGGGGCUUAAGAAAAAAUGUGCAUAUUUUAGGCGUAAAAGAUUGACUGUGCCAAGUUUCGGCACUAUCACAGUCUCUGCUGUAGUUCAAAGGCCUUUAAAGGGUGAUGGUCUAUACAAGAUUAACCCAGUGUAAGAAGGAAUCAUAAAAGAUUAUAGUAGAGGUCUUGGCCAUUCUU